AGAGUUUGAUCCUGGCUCAGGAUGAACGCUAGCGACAGGCUUAACACAUGCAAGUCGAGGGGCAGCAAUUUGUAGCAAUACAAAGUUGGCGACCGGCGCACGGGUGAGUAACGCGUAUGCAACCUACCUACAACAGAAGAAUAAUCCGGCGAAAGUCGGUCUAAUACUUCAUAAAACAGGGACACCGCAUGGUGUUAUUUGUUAAAGAUUUAUCGGUUGUAGAUGGGCAUGCGUACCAUUAGGUAGUUGGUGAGGUAACGGCCCACCAAGCCUACGAUGGUUAGGGGUUCUGAGAGGAAAGUCCCCCACACUGGUACUGAGACACGGACCAGACUCCUACGGGAGGCAGCAGUGAGGAAUAUUGGUCAAUGGGCGAGAGCCUGAACCAGCCAAGUCGCGUGAAGGAUGACGGCCCUAUGGGUUGUAAACUUCUUUUGCAGGGGAAUAAAGAUAUUCACGUGUGGGUAGUUGUAUGUACCCUGCGAAUAAGCAUCGGCUAACUCCGUGCCAGCAGCCGCGGUAAUACGGAGGAUGCGAGCGUUAUCCGGAUUUAUUGGGUUUAAAGGGUGCGUAGGUGGGCUAUUAAGUCAGUGGUGAAAGUUUGUCGCUCAACGAUAAAAUUGCCGUUGAAACUGGUGGUCUUGAGUAUGGAUGAAGUAGGCGGAAUGCGUGGUGUAGCGGUGAAAUGCAUAGAGAUCACGCAGAACUCCGAUUGCGAAGGCAGCUUACUAAGGCAUAACUGACACUGAAGCACGAAAGCGUGGGUAUCAAACAGGAUUAGAUACCCUGGUAGUCCACGCAGUAAACGAUGAUUACUAGGAGUUUGCGAUAUAGUGUAAGCUCUACAGCGAAAGCGUUAAGUAAUCCACCUGGGGAGUACGCCGGCAACGGUGAAACUCAAAGGAAUUGACGGGGGCCCG
rnacentral:rRNA from 1 species